AUUGAACGCUGGCGGCAUGCCUUACACAUGCGAGUCGAACGGCAGCACGGGAGCAAUCCUGGUGGCGAGUGGCGAACGGGUGAGUAAUACAUCGGAACGUGCCCAGUUGUGGGGGAUAGCCCGGCGAAAGCCGGAUUAAUACCGCAUACGACCUACGGGUGAAAGCGGGGGAUCGCAAGACCUCGCGCUAUUGGAGCGGC
rnacentral:rRNA from 1 species